GAGCACGGGGAGUGACAGCCGAAGGGAAGUCCCUGGCCGGCCGUGGGAGCAAGGAACCAAGAAACCGUGGAGAGCUUCAGUACAACAUAGGGCGUGACCAACAGUGAAGACCCAAGAGCUACAGAGAAGCUUCUAGCUAUGACAGGAAACUUCUAGGACUGUAGCCUGUGAGCUACAUCUCAUUGCAUACUGUUCCCAUGUGUAAAAGCGAACAAGGUGAGGAAGGGUUGUAGAAAAAAGCCUAUAAUUUUAAAUCUUACUUACAUAUGCCAACAAUAAAUGUACUGUCAUCCCUC